rfam:Glycine soja cultivar W05 scaffold1791_36, whole genome shotgun sequence.
UCUUAAAAAUUGUUCCUUGUUAAUUAGAGGGUGUAUUUGAUCCAAGACCUUGUUUUUAGGGAGAACCUCCUUGGUGUUACUACAUUUCCAAUGAUAGCAACGAUUGAUAUGAGGU